AUUGAACGCUGGCGGAAUGCUUUACACAUGCAAGUCGAACGGCAGCACGGACUUCGGUCUGGUGGCGAGUGGCGAACGGGUGAGUAAUACAUCGGAACGUGCCCAAUCGUGGGGGAUAACGUAGCGAAAGCUACGCUAAUACCGCAUACGAUCUAAGGAUGAAAGCGGGAGAUCGCAAGACCUCGCGCGAUUGGAGCGGCCGAUGGCAGAUUAGGUAGUUGGUAGGGUAAAGGCCUACCAAGCCGACGAUCUGUAGCUGGUCUGAGAGGAUGAGCAGCCACACUGGGACUGAGACACGGCCCAGACUCCUACGGGAGGCAGCAGUGGGGAAUUUUGGACAAUGGACGCAAGUCUGAUCCAGCCAUUCCGCGUGCAGGAUGAAGGCCCUCAGGUUGUAAACUGCUUUUGUACAGAACGAAAAGGCUCUGGUUAAUACCUAGGGCUCAUGACGGUACUGUAAGAAUAAGCACCGGCUAACUACGUGCCAGCCGCCGCUGUAA
rnacentral:rRNA from 1 species